CUUCUUUGCUGUCAUCUUCUGGUCCCACAGACUGGAACAGUCACAUCUCAAGCUGCGCUCACCUCUCCCAAGCGAUGGUCCAGAGUCUCCCAAAGGAUGGAAAUUCCUAUUUAUGUCUCUUUUCCUCUCAAUUAGCUGGGAGCUGCAGUUUCAGUUCCCUUAGGCUGUUCCCUGUGGGCUGGCCAUGAGCGCAGACCUCCACAGCUGCUCCCUGCAGCCAUUUGUGCUGCCCUGCUCAAACCCAUGGAGCUGGGACUCCACGGCCACAUGCAGUUCACUUUCUAAGCUGUUAGCAAAUGUAAGGUUUAGUUUCACAGCCACUUUGCAAGAAGCAAAAACACCGACACGCAGAUCUCUAAAUGCCAGCACUCACCUCUUUUAAUUGAGGCUGUUUGGUUGUUUAGAGCCGUGUUCAUCAUUUCACACCAAGAAAUGAAAUAGACUGAUGUUUUCCUGUUGGGUUUGUCAUCACACAAGAUGUCCCAACAAAUAGCAAGCAGUACUCUUUGCUGCCUGCAAACUUUGGCAGCUCUUGGCAGCAGGAAGGCCCAUGUUGGGGCAGUGGCACUUCCAGCUAUGCUCUGAGUUUGGGGCUGGUUUGGAAUUGCCACUAUCAGUGAUGGAGAUCAAUAUGACCAAAGGCCUUGUUGUGUUCUCCAUUCACUUUAACUAUGAAGAACUACGUGAAUAUGUUACCUUUGUGAAAUGGCUUCGAGGAUUUGCAUCCAGCCCCUUCUGGGCAGAUAUCCAGACCACAGAAGUCAUCAUCUAAGCUAAGUUAACACUAAUUAGUUUUCUUGUUAGCAAAUUCUGAAAUGAUGCCAUCUCUAGGGUGAAAUGUAGAAGCUAAUUAAUAGUACUUAAUUUGUGUGUCACUAUGAUACCCCACUAAUACAUAAUCACAACAAUAUUAACAAUAAUAUUAAUCUUUGUCACCCAGAAUGUUCUUCAAACUAUACUAUCACUGAUCCUUUUUGUGAACCUGGCACAAAGGAAACCAAUGAUAUUUCUGUUGCUCUUAGAUACAACUGAGCUUAUUGUUUGUUUGCUUUAAAAAAUGAUGGCCUUCAGCUUUUACAAUUUUCAUUUUGUCCUAAAUCAUGAUUUAUGAUAUAUUAAUGUACUUUCAUACUAACUCUUAUACUUACAGACAACCAAUUAUACCAGGGAUCCCAGAGUUAAUAUUUUUGGUUUCAAGGCUUCAUUUUAUCUGAGCCUCUAUAAAUAAGAUUCUCAUGAAGUAUUUAUACCCACUAACCCAGCUCAGAGAAAGAAAUAGAAGUAAUGGAUGAUUACAGAUGGCAAGGUGGCUGAAUCCUGGCACAGGAGAUUGUACAGCGUGAUUCUGAUGAGCUACCUGAUAGACAUGGCAAAACAAAAACAUCCUCGAUUCCUGCUUGCAUGUUUUGCAGAACUUUUGAGCAAAUAGUGCCUGAAAUAAGAGUCCAUUUCACAGAUUGCUUUUCCGGAGGUUGGCCCUUUACAUUUGGGCAAAGAAAACUCCAGACAACUGCAGCCUUCAAGAUGCCAUUUUUGACCUGGCCAGCAUCUACAGAAACCUCGCUGCUUUAGU